ensembl:lncRNA
AGCCUGGGUUGUUGGGGUGGGGAGAGCGCUAGGAUGACCGUGCAUUGGUGUAGUACUGCCGUGCAGCUGAGUAUUCAUAAUUCUUAAGGGCCUCUGUAGAGGAGAAGGAACCAGCAUUCUCUAGGCACACUGAAGCCGCCUCUCCACCUAUAAGUAAAAAGAAGAGACGAUCCCAAGCACAGAGAGGGCCUGAGUCCGUGGCAGCCUCCCUUGGCACCUCAGACCUCCAAACACUGAGAAAACUCAUCCGGAGUCAGAUCCAGACGUUUCUUCAUCUCAGCUGCCAGGAAGUACGUAUUUUGGCACAUGGGGACCAAGGAAGGAAGGAAUGGAGGAGAACUUACCCCAGAGGCUAGUAAAAUAUCAGCACAGGUUGUUUGCUCAUCUGUGGGAAAACAAUAGAAAAGAAAAAAAAAAAAAAAAAAA